AAUAGGUUGGGGUUAGUGUGUAUAUAUAUAUAUAUAUAACUCACAGUAGAGAAGAACAGGACAAUAGGUUGGGGUUAGUGUGUAUAUAUAUAUAUAUAUAUAACUCACAGUAGAGAAGAACAGGACAAUAGGUUGGGGUUAGUGUGUAUAUAUAUAUAUAUAACUCACAGUAGAGAAGAACAGGACAAUAGGUUGGGGUUAGUGUAUAUAUAUAUAUAUAUAUAACUCACAGUAGAGAAGAACAGGACAAUAGGUUGGGGUUAGUGUGUAUAUAUAUAUAUAUAACUCACAGUAGAGAAGAACAGGACAAUAGGUUGGGGUUAGUGUGUAUAUAUAUAUAUAUAUAACUCACAGUAGAGAAGAACAGGACAAUAGGUUGGGGUUAGUGUGUAUA